CAAGAACGAACGCUGGCGGCGCGCCUAAUACAUGCAAGUCGAGCGAGAAGGUGUAGCAAUACACUUGUAAAGCGGCGAACGGGUGAGGAAUGCAUGGGUAACCUACCCUCGAGUGGGGAAUAACUAGCCGAAAGGUUAGCUAAUACCGCAUACGUUUCCGGAACUUCGGUUUCGGAAAGAAAGCAAUACCGUGGGUAUUGCGCUCCUGGAUGGGCUCAUGUCCUAUCAGCUUGUUGGUGAGGUAACGGCUCACCCAAGGCUUCGACGGGUAGCUGGUCUGAGAGGACGAUCAGCCACACUGGCACUGCGACACGGGCCAGACUCCUACGGGAGGCAGCAGUAAGGAAUAUUGCGCAAUGGACGAAAGUCUGACGCAGCGACGCCGCGUGGGGGAUGAAGGUCUUCGGAUUGUAAACCCCUUUCGGGAGGGAAGAUGGAGUGGGUAACCACUUGGACGGUACCUCCAGAAGCAGCCACGGCUAACUUCGUG
rnacentral:rRNA from 1 species